UCUGGUUGAUCCUGCCAGAGGCCACUGCUAUCGGAGUUCGAUUAAGCCAUGCGAGUCGAGAGGGUUCGGCCCUCGGCGUACUGCUCAGUAACACGUGGAUAACCUACCCUAAGGUGGGAGAUAACCCCGGGAAACUGGGGAUAAUACCCCAUAGUCUAUGGAAGCUGGAAUGCUCUAUAGUUGAAAGAUUUAUCGCCUUAGGAUGGGUCUGCGGCCGAUUAGGUAGUUGUUGGGGUAACGGCCCAACAAGCCUUUGAUCGGUACGGGUUGUGGGAGCAAGAGCCCGGAGAUGGAUUCUGAGACAAGAAUCCAGGCCCUACGGGGCGCAGCAGGCGCGAAAACUUUACAAUGCGGGAAACCGUGAUAAGGGAACACCGAGUGCCAGCAAGAAUUGCGGGCUGUCCAGCUGCUUAAAAAACAGCUGAUAGAAAGGGCCGGGCAAGACCGGUGCCAGCCGCCGCGGUAACACCGGCGGCCCGAGUGGUAACCACUAUUACUGGGUCUUAAAGCGUCCGUAGCCUGGCCAGGUAAGUCCCUUGGGAAAUCUGGCAGCUCAACUGUCAGGCUGCUAGGGGAUACUGUUUGGCUUGGGACCGGGAGAGGUGAGAGGUACCUUGGGGGUAGGGGUGAAAUCUUGUGAUCCUCGAGGGACCACCAGUGGCGAAGGCGUCUCACCAGAACGGGUCCGACGGUAAGGGACGAAAGCUAGGGGCACGAACCGGAUUAGAUACCCGGGUAGUCCUAGCCGUAAACGAUGCUCGCUAGGUGUCAGUCACGGUGCGACCGAGAUUGGUGCCGUAGGGAAGCCGUGAAGCGAGCCACCUGGGAAGUAUGGCCGCAAGGCUGAAACUUAAAGGAAUUGGCGGGGGAGCACUACAACGGGUGGAGCCUGCGGUUUAAUUGGAUUCAACGCCGGAAAUCUCACCGGGGGCGACAGCGAUAUGAAGGUCAGGCUGAAGACUUUACCGGAUUAGCUGAGAGGUGGUGCAUGGCCGUCGUCAGUUCGUACUGUGAAGCAUCCUGUUAAGUCAGGUAACGAGCGAGACCC
rnacentral:rRNA from 1 species